UGAACACGGAGCUUGCUCUGUGGGACAAGUGGCGAACGGGUGAGUAACACGUGAGCAACCUGCCCCUGACUCUGGGAUAAGCGCUGGAAACGGCGUCUAAUACUGGAUACGAGUAGCGACCGCAUGGUCAGUUACUGGAAAGAUUUUUUGGUUGGGGAUGGGCUCGCGGCCUAUCAGCUUGUUGGUGAGGUAAUGGCUCACCAAGGCGUCGACGGGUAGCCGGCCUGAGAGGGUGACCGGCCACACUGGGACUGAGACACGGCCCAGACUCCUACGGGAGGCAGCAGUGGGGAAUAUUGCACAAUGGGCGAAAGCCUGAUGCAGCAACGCCGCGUGAGGGAUGACGGCCUUCGGGUUGUAAACCUCUUUUAGCAGGGAAGAAGCGAAAGUGACGGUACCUGCAGAAAAAGCGCCGGCUAACUACGUGCCAGCAGCCGCGGUAAUACGUAGGGCGCAAGCGUUAUCCGGAAUUAUUGGGCGUAAAGAGCUCGUAGGCGGUUUGUCGCGUCUGCUGUGAAAUCCCGAGGCUCAACCUCGGGCCUGCAGUGGGUACGGGCAGACUAGAGUGCGGUAGGGGAGAUUGGAAUUCCUGGUGUAGCGGUGGAAUGCGCAGAUAUCAGGAGGAACACCGAUGGCGAAGGCAGAUCUCUGGGCCGUAACUGACGCUGAGGAGCGAAAGGGUGGGGAGCAAACAGGCUUAGAUACCCUGGUAGUCCACCCCGUAAACGUUGGGAACUAGUUGUGGGGUCCAUUCCACGGAUUCCGUGACGCAGCUAACGCAUUAAGUUCCCCGCCUGGGGAGUACGGCCGCAAGGCUAAAACUCAAAGGAAUUGACGGGGACCCGCACAAGCGGCGGAGCAUGCGGAUUAAUUCGAUGCAACGCGAAGAACCUUACCAAGGCUUGACAUAUACGAGAACGGGCCAGAAAUGGUCAACUCUUUGGACACUCGUAAACAGGUGGUGCAUGGUUGUCGUCAGCUCGUGUCGUGAGAUGUUGGGUUAAGUCCCGCAACGAGCGCAACCCUCGUUCUAUGUUGCCAGCACGUAAUGGUGGGAACUCAUGGGAUACUGCCGGGGUCAACUCGGAGGAAAGGUGGGGAUGACGUCAAAUCAUCAUGCCCCUUAUGUCUUGGGCUUCACGCAUGCUACAAUGGCCGGUACAAAGGGCUGCAAUACCGCGAGGUGGAGCGAAUCCCAAAAAGCCGGUCCCAGUUCGGAUUGAGGUCUGCAACUCGACCUCAUGAAGUCGGAGUCGCUAGUAAUCGCAGAUCAGCAACGCUGCGGUGAAUACGUUCCCGGGUCUUGUACACACCGCCCGUCAAGUCAUGAAAGU
rnacentral:rRNA from 1 species